UCCACUUUUCUAGAACCCAAAACGGAACUAAAUCACAUUUAUUUAAUAUAAUUAAAA
rnacentral:tRNA from 1 species